AUUGAACGCUGGCGGCAGGCCUAACACAUGCAAGUCGAGCGAGCGGCGGACGGGUGAGUAAUGUAUGGGGAUCUGCCCGAUAGAGGGGGAUAUAUACUGGAAACGGUGGAUAAUACCGCAUACUAUCGUAUGAACACAUAGGGGAUUUGCUUGUAGGUGGGGUAAACGCUCACCUAGGCGACGAUCUCUAGCUGGGCUGAGAGGAUGCUCAGCCACACUGGGACUGAGACACGGCCCAGACUCCUACGGGAGGCAGCAGUGGGGAAUAUUGCACAAUGGGCGCAAGCCUGAUGCAGCCAUGCCGCGUGUAUGAAGAAGGCCUUAGGGUUGUAAAGUACUUUCAGCGGGGAGGCGUUACCCGCAGAAGAAGCACCGGCUAAAUCCGUGCCAGCAGCCGCGGUAAUAC
rnacentral:rRNA from 1 species